AUUGAACGCUGGCGGCAUGCCUUACACAUGCAAGUCGAACGGCAGCACGGGAGCUUGCUCCUGGUGGCGAGUGGCGAACGGGUGAGUAAUAUAUCGGAACGUACCCUAGAGUGGGGAUAACGCAGCGAAAGUUGCGCUAAUACCGCAUACGAUCUACGGAUGAAAGUGGGGGAUCGCAAGACCUCAUGCUCAUGGAGCGGCCGAUAUCUGAUUAGCUAGUUGGUGAGGUAAAGGCUCACCAAGCCGACGAUCUGUAGCUGGUCUGAGAGGACGACCAGCCACACUGGGACUGAGACACGGCCCAGACUCCUACGGGAGGCAGCAGUGGGGAAUUUUGGACAAUGGGCGCAAGCCUGAUCCAGCAAUGCCGCGU
rnacentral:rRNA from 1 species